CCUACGGGAGGCAGCAGUGGGGAAUCUUGCGCAAUGGGCGAAAGCCUGACGCAGCCAUGCCGCGUGUAUGAUGAAGGCCUUAGGAUUGUAAAAUACUUUCACCGGGGACGAUAAUGACGGUACCCGGAGAAGAAGCCCCGGCUAACUUCGUGCCAGCAGCCGCGGUAAUACGAAGGGGGCUAGCGUUGCUCGGAAUUACUGGGCGUAAAGGGCGCGUAGGCGGACAGUUUAGUCAGAGGUGAAAGCCCAGGGCUCAACCUUGGAAUUGCCUUUGAUACUGACUGUCUUGAGUACGGGAGAGGUGAGUGGAACUCCGAGUGUAGAGGUGAAAUUCGUAGAUAUUCGGAAGAACACCAGUGGCGAAGGCGACUCACUGGCCCGUUACUGACGCUGAGGCGCGAAAGCGUGGGGAGCAAACAGGAUUAGAUACCCUGGUAGUCCACGCCGUAAACGAUGAGUGCUAGUUGUCGGCAUGCAUGCAUGUCGGUGACGCAGCUAACGCAUUAAGCACUCCGCCUGGGGAGUACGGUCGCAAGAUUAAAACUCAAAGGAAUUGACGG
rnacentral:rRNA from 1 species